UUUACCUGGAAAAUCACUUUCUUUAACCAUACCCCAAUCCUCCUUUCUUCCAGGAAAUGGAACCAGAAUGACUCUUCAGAAUGCUGAUUUCCUAUGCAGAUUUUUCCUCAAUAAGCAUUGCAUACCCCCAACAUCAGGCCCUCCACACUCUGGUACUUCACUCUGCUCCAUGCCCAGGACCAGCCCAGGAAACCAGGCCCAGAUACGCUGUCAGAAGCUAAGGGGACAUCAUGGCCAACAUCUUCUGAGGACUUCCUCCCCUGGUCGGGCAGAUUGACUCCAGGGGACCAGACUGAACCCUCUCAGUCCCUCUCAGAUUCUCCCUGAAAUAGGUCAGUAGGACAACCUAGGAGAUGCCACCCAAUCCAAGCCUCUGUUGAGAAACUCUGUUGAAAACCUCUGGAGCCUUUCUCAAGUAUUUCCUCCUGGCUGGAUCACACCCCCUAGCCCAAGUCUCCUUUUCUGGAUAAAGGCCUUUGUGACCCAAUAGUAUCAAAUCCUUGCUGCCUAUUCCAUUUAUCAUUUGAAUUGGAUAGCUGGGUGUGCCAAA
rnacentral:lncRNA from 1 species